rnacentral:lncRNA from 1 species
CUCUGGGCUCUCUUCAAAGUUUUAGAAGGAGUCUUUUCCAUAGCAUCUCUCCAUGUUGCAGUCAGGAAAUCUGUUAUUAUCUUCGUUUUUUGCUUAGACAGAGGUCUAAAAUGGAAGGCGCUAUUGGAAUCCGAAGCUUCACAGCUCUUCAUCUCUACUGCUACUUGUCAAUGUCAGCUUUUCUGCUCAGAUGAGAAGAUGUCCUGGGACUCAGACACCCAGGAACCACACAGCUCUGAGGCGGGACAGUGUCCCAAGGAAAGGCAUCCUGAAAUAUGGAGCCCAGGAACCACAGAGGUCUGAGAGGAAGCCUCCUCAGCAGAGGCACCG